AAUGAGCAUCCCUGAAGACACCCCGUCCUCUGAGUUCAACCACAGGGUUACAGGGAGGACGAGAGGUUGUACCUUGCCAACGAUUCAGAUGAGCAGUCGUUGCUUUGUGACACCUUGAUGCUUAGCAUUUCAGAACAUGUAUAGAGUCUAGGGAUCUUUGUCUUUAGUUAGAUUACCUUGCUCACUGGAGUAUUCAAUAUUAUAGGAUGGGGAGUGGCUAAUUGGUAAACAAAUAAAAGGACAAGAAAUAAAGAGGAUGGUCAAUGUGGUGGAUAGCGUCAAGGAGGUUGCCAAUACGAUCGAGAUAGUGGAUGCGGUUCGGCAGAAGAAGAAGUUGUGUCAUCAUAUUAGAGGUCGCAUGGACUGUCCUUAUGCCACGCUGUCAAAACUUGAUGAUGCUGGUGCGAGGAAGGACCCCAUAGAUUGAAUUACCAUGUCGGUGUGAUUGUGAGAGUGCAAUGCCUAUAUUCGUAUUGGAGAGGGAAACUAUUUGUUUCCUAUUCGGCCAUCUCCAUUCCUCCCCGGCUAACCGCCGCUUGGGGAGUGUUCUCUCCAUCUCCUCUAGUGAGGGGUUGAGGGCAACAAGCUUCAGCGGCUUCAGUUACUCAUGUAGCAUGGAACACAUGGACGACUCUCAGUCCUCCGCUGGAGAAGGAGCGCAAGGCUGCCGCUGCACCGCGCAACAUCGAACUGAUUCACAAGGUGCAGGUCCUAAUUUCAUAUUUAUCCUUGUUCUUUCAUUUGGUCUGUAUUUUUUGCACUUGUUGCUGCCAACAGUCAGGUCAAAUUGGAACAAUUUUUGUGUCUUCACAUCGAGUUGCUAAGCUUAACCUUGACCAUGUUUUAUUUCUGUAGAUUUUGUUUCUAAGCUGACAGGGCUGAGCUUUUCCUGCAAUCGUUAGGUUCAACACUUGAUCCAUGUUGACUGUUUCUUGUUAUAUCAUAUAAGAAAUAAUCCAUGAGUUAUUUCAGCUAUAUACAUCCCAUGAUUUUGCUCUUGGAGUUACUUUUAGUUCUUUCUGAGUAAAUCUUAUGGAAAAUUCAGGCAUGCAUCAUAGAGAAAUAAUAACUAUAAGUGUGUGUUAUCCAGUAGUCCAGAGAAAUUUUUUGUUCAUUAGGAAAUUUUGCAGCUACGAAUGUGUCUUCAAGUUAUAAGCUUUAUUAUCUUAGGUAAAGUUGUUGAUGGGAGACAAGUUUCUUUUCUAUGCCGCGGAGGGUGCGCAGCUGUGAAUAUGGUGCAUGGCAUCAGUAACCAAAGGUAAACAAUCUAUCUCAAGGAUUUUACCACUAUCGAUGUAAUGAGCACACUUCUGCUUGGUAGAGGCAAAGCUCAUCUAUAAAACAUUUAUUUUCUCAUUAACGAAUACCUGUAGGGCAGGAUAAGGUCUUUGUUCAACGAGGAACUUUUUUUUGGUUCUAUACGUUUUUUCAAAGACGCUAAUAUUAAAAGAAAAAGAUAAUUGUAUUCUGGUUUAGUAUAUCUGUAUGUUAUAGAUAUUUUUGUGAAUUCAGCUUCUAGAAUCCUCACAAUUUCCAGUUAAUGUUGAACAUCUUCUUAAUUUUGCAUUUAAUUCUAUUUUUCUUUGCAGUAUGUCUAUUGAUAGAAAUGUGAUGUAGAACACCUUACAUUACCCUUUGUUUGCAUCAGAGUCUCGAUUAAAUCCCAGCUUCACUGCUCAGGUAAAGGACUAUUUUUCUCUUUUUCUAUUUCAUGUUUUUCUCUGUUGGUCACAGUACACCACUCUGAACGUGGUCCACCUAAAUACUUAGUUGUUGCUUUUAGCUUGGUUAUAGCUAUACCCGUCAAGUAAUGUGUGGUUUAUAUUUAGCUUUCCAAUCAUGUUCAUGUUCCUUGAUGGCACAGACCCUUCAGGACCAGAUGUUAUGCAGUAAUGGCUACUCAGUGAUUCAGUUUUACUACGCUUUGUGCUUCACCGAAGAUAUCUGUAGUUAAACACAUACAUCCCUAAUUCAUGCUUUGGAUGUAUUCACCUUUACCUUGUGGGCAGCGAGUAUUGUCCAUUCAGUAUUUUUUUCUGUAUCAUUUCAUUUCUGACAUGCCUCGAGUUUUAUUCACCUUUACUGGUGACAAUGCCAGGUGAACCUAUUGAAUCUUCUAAGAAAAUUGCAUUUUAAUUUCAUGGAUCUGUUGGCGUAUAAUUCAUGGUCAAUUAUCCCUAUAGAUUAGAGAGUAUAGAGUAUGCACUGUCUUAUUUACAAGGCAUGCACAUACUUCAGCUGGCCUCUCCUAAGAGUCAUAUUCCGGUACUUGAGGAGAAAUAAGCUCUUGGCGAUCCCUGAAUCCCUGGUUUUAUUAAAGUGUGAAUUCAUUGUUGCAGUACUACUUCUGAUUUUGGUAGCAAGUUGCUGUACAUACCCAUCACGGUACAAUCCUAUUGUAGUGUUCCUGAAAUGUUGCGUUCUAGGUUUUGGAAUGGGCAAACCAUAGAGAUAAUUUCCAUGCUGAAAGUUGGGGAGCGGCUAUGUGGGUUUCUAAAAUGCUUUGAUCUAAGGAAGUGUUGGAGUUACAUUCCAUAUGCACUGAUACCGCUCGAUGGGGACUGUUUGCCAGGGUGCUUUAUGUGGUCUACAUGUCCUGAUGUUUUUAUAGCAGUCCUGAUCCAUCUGAAAAUGUCAUCAGCAUGUUAUUGUCUGUUUUCCUAUAUGCAGAUUGUUGCACCGAAAAAGUGUGAAUCAGAUGCUUGGUGCUAAUGUUGUUAAAGCUCACGAAAGGUAAUACACUUUGGGACUUGAUCCAGUUUUCUUUCCUGACUUGAUGCAGUUGAUAUGUUGUCAUCAUGAAUAUUUUUGGGAGGUAUUCCAUUUGGUAGAUCGUCAUAAUUAUGCACCCAUCUUUCCAGUUUUAGCACAGAUAUACAACAUGUGAUUCAGAUCAAUAUGACUCAAUCAAUUGGGACUGUGAGGUUGUGUGUGAUUAGUUAAGUGCCUUGGUAUACUUAUUUCUUUUAUUUCUCUUAUAUGUAAUUUUGCUUGUUAUUUAUGCAGAGAAGAUCAGAUUUUGAUCA